rnacentral:rRNA from 1 species
UACGGGGGGGGUAAGCGUUGUUCGGAAUUACUGGGCGUAAAGGGCUCGUAGGCGGCCAACUAAGUCAGACGUGAAAUCCCUCGGCUUAACCGGGGAACUGCGUCUGAUACUGGAUGGCUUGAGUUUGGGAGAGGGAUGCGGAAUUUCCGGUGUAGCGGUGAAAUGCGUAGAUAUCGGAAGGAACACCUGUGGCGAAAGCGGCUCACUGGACCAUUACUGACGCUGAUGCACGAAAGCUAGGGGAGCAAACAGG